rnacentral:lncRNA from 1 species
CAUUAGCUUUGUGCCCCAACUUUUGGAACAUCUAGUCUACAAGGUAUACCACAAAAGUUACUCGUGGGGGCUGUCUCCAAGUAUGUAUUUCCUUUCACCAGGACAGUUACCACAGGAUCCUCUGACCCACUUACUGGUCAUCAAUAAAACAGGUUCAAGCAUUGAUAACUUUAUACAUUCACUAAGACAGCAGGGCAUAGCAUUAGACGUGGAUGCCCUGGGGACCAGAAAUGGCAAAGAAGAGGCUCUGUACAAUGGUGCUGUCACAGUGCUGGGUGACGAGAAGGACCUCAGAUUUUCUGUAGCGUGUAAUGCCAAAAGACUAAACUGCUUUCCAGUCCUCGCGGAUAUCCUUAGCAAUGGGCUGCUUGGAAUUUU